rnacentral:rRNA from 1 species
UUGUACAGGUGCUGCAUGGCUGUCGUCAGCUCGUGUCGUGAGAUGUUCGGUUAAGUCCGCUAACGAGCGCAACCCUCGCUGUGUGUUACAAGUGUCACACGGAACUGCCGGUCAUAAACCGGAGGAAGGUGGGAUGACGUCAAGUCAGCAUGGCCUUUAUAUCCUGGGCUACACACACGCUACAAUGGGAAGGGACAAUAGGUUGCGAAGCCGCGAGGCGGAGCCAAUCCAGCAAAACUUCCCUCAGUUCAGAUUGCAGGCUGCAACUCGCCUGCAUGAAGUUGGAGUUGCUAGUAAACGCAGGUCAGCCAUACUGCGUUGAAUACGUUCCCGGGGCUU